rnacentral:rRNA from 1 species
AACCGGAUUAGAUACCCUGGUAGUCCACGCCGUAAACGAUGUCGACUUGGAGGCUGUUCCCUUGAGGAGUGGCUUCCGGAGCUAACGCGUUAAGUCGACCGCCUGGGGAGUACGGCCGCAAGGUUAAAACUCAAAUGAAUUGACGGGGGCCCGCACAAGCGGUGGAGCAUGUGGUUUAAUUCGAUGCAACGCGAAGAACCUUACCUACUCUUGACAUCCAGAGAAUUUAGCAGAGAUGCUUUAGUGCCUUCGGGAGCUCUGAGACAGGUGCUGCAUGGCUGUCGUCAGCUCGUGUUGUGAAAUGUUGGGUUAAGUCCCGCAACGAGCGCAACCCUUAUCCUUUGUUGCCAGCACGUAAUGGUGGGAACUCAAAGGAGACUGCCGGUGAUAAACCGGAGGAAGGUGGGGAUGACGUCAAGUCAUCAUGGCCUUUACGAGUAGGGCUACACACGUGCUACAAUGGCGCAUACAAAGAGAAGCGACCUCGCGAGAGCAAGCGGACCUCAUAAAGUGCGUCGUAGUCCGGAUUGGAGUCUGCAACUCGACUCCAUGAAGUCGGAAUCGCUAGUAAUCGUAAAUCAGAAUGUUACGGUGAAUACGUUCCCGGGCCUUGUACACACCGCCCGUCACACCAUGGGAGUGGGUUGCAAAAGAAGUAGAUAGCUUAACCUUCGGGAGGGCGUUUACCACUUUGUGAUUCAUGACUGGGGUGAAGUCGUAACAAGGUAACCGUAGGGGAACCUGCGGCUGGAUCACCUCCUU